rnacentral:tRNA from 1 species
GCACCCGUAGCUCAAUUGGAUAGAGCAACAGAUUUUUAAUCUGUAGGUUUCGAGUUCGAGUCUCGACGGGGGCA